GACGAACGCUGGCGGCGUGCUUAACACAUGCAAGUCGAACGGAGAAGCGCCUUCCUUUUUGGUCGGUGUGGAUGAGCGGCGAACGGGUGAGUAACACGUGAGUAACCUUCUCCCUUCUUCUGGAUAACCGCAUGCCAGUGUUGCUACUACGUGAUAUACUGGGUCUGUCGCAUGAUGAGUCUGGGAAGGAUAUUGUUUCGGUUGGGGAUGGGCUCGCGGCGGAUCAGCUAGUUGGUGGGGUGAUGGCGUACCAAGGCGGCGAUGAGUAGCCGGCCUGAGAGGAGGGUGGACGGUCACAGAGGGGAGACGACGUCGAGCAUCCUCCGGCAGGAGGCAGUAGGGAAGAAUACGGCACGAGGGGCGGAAGGCUGAUGCAGCGACGCCGCGGGAGUGAUGGAGGCCGUCGGGUUGUGAACCGCUUUCGCGAGAGAAGCAGUCCGGCCGUGUUUGUGGGUGGGUUGACGGUAGCUGGAUAAGAAGCGCCGGCUAACUACGUG
rnacentral:rRNA from 1 species